rnacentral:rRNA from 1 species
UUCAUGGAGAGUUUGAUCCUGGCUCAGGACGAACGCUGGCGGCGUGCCUAACACAUGCAAGUCGAACGGACCGAAGUGAAUAGUUUACUAUUUACUUCGG